rnacentral:lncRNA from 1 species
AUAUACGUCCAGUCUUUACAUGUAUUCACACAGGGCUGAUCUUAAUCAAAAGAAUCCAAAGAUCACCAGGAUGCUAGCUCCAUUGUAGAUCUUUCUCCCUUUAAAUCAAAUUUGAUUUCUUCUUCUUUUCUUCUCAAGAAAGAGAAAGAAGAUAAUGAAUAAGAGAGGAAGAGGGUCUCCCUCUUAGGUGGCACCAAGGAGGAGAGGAAGGUGGGUGGCAACAAAGGAAGAGGGGAGAUGGAUCUUAUCAUUAGCUAGGGCAUCCUCUCAAUUUGGUCCUAUUUAUGGACCCCAAUCCCUUAUCCAUCUAUCCUAUUAAUUUGAAUCACAUUUAUAUUUUAAAGAUUCGAAUCAAAUUCAAACUUUGAGAUGGAUUAGGAUAGAGAGAUAAGAGAGAGAGGAGAGAGAACCUCAGAGGAGGCACGCCAACCCUUGGUC